AUAUUGGUCAAUGGACGCAAGUCUGAACCAGCCAUGCCGCGUGAAGGAUGAAGGUCCUCUGGAUUGUACACUUCUUUUAUCUGGGACGAAAACGGGAUUUUUAUCUCAAUUGACGGUACCAGAGGAAUAAGCACCGGCUAACUCCGUGCCAGCAGCCGCGGUAAUACGGAGGGUGCGAGCGUUAUCCGGAUUUACUGGGUUUAAAGGGUGCGUAGGUGGGCUUAUAAGUCAGUGGUGAAAUCUCCGAGCUUAACUUGGAAACUGCCGUUGAUACUAUAGGUCUUGAAUUAUCUGGAGGUAAGCGGAAUAUGUCAUGUAGCGGUGAAAUGCUUAGAUAUGACAUAGAACACCAAUUGCGAAGGCAGCUUACUACAUAUAAAUUGACGCUGAGGCACGAAAGC
rnacentral:rRNA from 1 species